CAUGAUAGAGGACAAGUAGGAAAGAUUGCGAGGAAAGCAUUUGACUCUAUUGGCCUCGUCUCUCUCUUACAUGUAUGGAGCUGCAGCCGGUGUUGCUCAACUCCUCACCUGCAAUGCAUUCAAAGGGGGGCAAGGAAUGGACCGAGCUGCUUAUACUCAGUUGACCUCAGAUGAUACUUUAAAUCCUGCUGAGUUGCCGUAGUUUUGCCCCAAAUGCACCGGUGAAUUUAAGCAGUCUGAAUGUCCCACAAAAUAUUAUUGCUUUUGUGAAAAGCAGGCCCGUGUCCUCCUUGUCCAAAGACUGUCUUUGCAUCCUGUCACUGUGGAUCUCAGGCACCAGUGGUUAGAUGUUGCAGUGCUAAAUCUUGGUCGUGUGGAAAGCCUUGUGGAAAGUUAUUUUCUUGUGGCCAGCACAGCUGUGAGUCUUCAUCCCAUGCUGGUGACUGACCACCAGUCUAAAUAUACUGAACUUUGCAGGUUAGGAUGCUGCUCUUAAUAUGUAUACUUUCUGAUAACUUCUUACUGAGGUUGUUGUUUUCAUUAAUGUUUAUCAGAUAAUUUGUGCCCAAACUGAUUUUGUCAGAUUUUGUCCAUGAAUGAAAAUAUAAAAAUCUGAGUUAAAUGGAAACCCAAAUGUAUUUGCAUGUUUUGAUGGUUACUACCAGUAUCAGAGGACUACCUACUUUUAGUCAAAAUAUAUUAUUAAUAGUCAAUUACAUACAUUGCCUGUCAUUGUGUGACCUUAGGAAAGUCAGUGCCCUUAAAUUCCCAUAUGUUUCUAGUCACCAGAGACAUCUUCAAACUGCUACGAUUUCUCCCCUCUCUUUGAAUUGCGAUUUAACAUUGGGAUGAAAUAUUUCUCACUAUAUUGUAACAGAAAAUUAUAUCUCUUACAGUCAUCCUCAGUUCUUCUGCAUGGCUUAAAGCAAAUGAAAGGACUACUGUGUAGGCUAUAAUCAAGUGAUAAUUUGA